rnacentral:rRNA from 1 species
UACAGAGGUCUCAAGCGUUGUUCGGAUUCAUUGGGCGUAAAGGGUGCGUAGGCGGCGCGGUAAGUCGGGUGUGAAAAUCUCGGAGCUUAACUCCGAAACUGCAUUCGAUACUGCCGUGCUUGAGGACUGGAGAGGAGACUGGAAUUUACGGUGUAGCGGUGAAAUGCGUAGAUAUCGUAAGGAAGACCAGUGGCGAAGGCGG